rnacentral:rRNA from 1 species
CAGCCGCCGCGGGAAUACGAAGGGGGCUAGCGUUGCUCGGAAUGACUGGGCGUAAAGGGCGCGUAGGCGGUUUGCACAGUCGGGUGUGAAAUUCCUGGGCUUAACCUGGGGGCUGCAUUCGAGACGUGUAGGCUUGAGUGGGGAAGAGGGUCGUGGAAUUCCCAGUGUAGAGGUGAAAUUCGUAGGUAUUGGGAAGAACACCGGUGGCGAAGGCGGCGACCUGGUCCUUUACUGACGCUGAGGCGCGAAAGCGUGGGGAGCAAACAGGAUUAGAUACCCGCGUAGUCCCUGUCUCUUAUAC